rnacentral:rRNA from 1 species
GACGAACGCUGGCGGCGUGCUUAACACAUGCAAGUCGAACGAAGAGCGACGGAAGCUUGCUUCUAUCAAUCUUAGUGGCGAACGGGUGAGUAACGCGUAAUCAACCUGCCCUUCAGAGGGGGACAACAGUUGGAAACGACUGCUAAUACCGCAUACGAUCUAAUCUCGGCAUCGAGGAUGGAUGAAAGGUGGCCUCUACAUGUAAGCUAUCACUGAAGGAGGGGAUUGCGUCUGAUUGGCUAGUUGGAGGGGUAACGGCCCACCAAGGCGAUGAUCAGUAGCUGGUCUGAGAGGAUGAACGGCCACAUUGGGACUGAGACACGGCCCAGACUCCUACGGGAGGCAGCAGUGGGGAAUCUUCCGCAAUAGACGAAAGUCUGACGGAGCAACGCCGCGUGAGUGAUGACGGCCUUCGGGUUGUAAAGCUCUGUUAAUCGGGACGAAAGGCCUUCUUGCGAAUAGUGAGAAGGAUUGACGGUACCGGAAUAGAAAGCCACGGCUAACUACGUG